AUAAAUGUGUUGAUUGAGAAGAGUAUACUUACAAAAUUAUUAAAGAGAGCCAUGGUAUGCUGAAAAGUGGUAUAUAUUUUGUAUUUAGAAAAUCACUCAUGAACAGCCUGCUGAAAGAAGAAAUUUCAAUUAAGCAAGGACGGAUAACACCCGUUAAAAUGUUUUACAUUGACAAGAAUAAGCUUAAGAUGUAAUAAGAGAGGUUGUAGAAAUACAGCAAUUUAAGUGGUACCGCAGAACUAGGGUUUUGUCUUAAUA
rnacentral:ncRNA from 1 species